rnacentral:rRNA from 1 species
CGAGGGGUAGAAGUCUUCGGGCUUUGAGACCGGCGCACGGGUGCGUAACGCGUAUGCAAUCUGCCUUUCACAGAGGGAUAGCCCAGAGAAAUUUGGAUUAAUACCUCAUAGCAUAAUCAAGCCGCAUGGUUUGAUUAUUAAAGUCACAACGGUGAAAGAUGAGCAUGCGUCCCAUUAGCUAGUUGGUAAGGUAACGGCUUACCAAGGCGACGAUGGGUAGGGGUCCUGAGAGGGAGAUCCCCCACACUGGUACUGAGACACGGACCAGACUCCUACGGGAGGCAGCAGUGAGGAAUAUUGGUCAAUGGACGCAAGUCUGAACCAGCCAUGCCGCGUGCAGGAUGACGGUCCUAUGGAUUGUAAACUGCUUUUGCACAGGAAGAAACACUCCGACGUGUCGGAGCUUGACGGUACUGUGAGAAUAAGGAUCGGCUAACUCCGUGCCAGCAGCCGCGGUAAUACGGAGGAUCCAAGCGUUAUCCGGAAUCAUUGGGUUUAAAGGGUCCGUAGGCGGUCUUGUAAGUCAGUGGUGAAAGCCCAUCGCUCAACGGUGGAACGGCCAUUGAUACUGCAGGACUUGAAUUAUUGGGAAGUAACUAGAAUAUGUAGUGUAGCGGUGAAAUGCUUAGAGAUUACAUGGAAUACCAAUUGCGAAGGCAGGUUACUACCAAUUUAUUGACGCUGAUGGACGAAAGCGUGGGUAGCGAACAGGAUUAGAUACCCUGGUAGUCCACGCCGUAAACGAUGGAUACUAGCUGUUGGGAGCAAUCUCAGUGGCUAAGCGAAAGUGAUAAGUAUCCCACCUGGGGAGUACGAACGCAAGUUUG